rnacentral:piRNA from 2 species
UCCCACACCUCAGAAAAUCUUCCAGACUGC